rnacentral:lncRNA from 1 species
CCAGCAUUCUCAGAGCAAGCAAAAGCAAACUUACAAAGAAACAUCUGAGAAGGCAGGUGAAGGACCUUUGGGGCACUUAAUGUGGGAGGACAACUGGGAAAUGCAGCCCGGAACUCAAGACACGGCAACAGUAAUGCCUACUCCGGGGCCAGAAUGCACCGGCAACAGCAAUGGUCAACAGCGACCACAUAAACAACUGUCUCAAAUCAUUGUCGGCACCAGCAGACUUCAGCAGAGGUGGAUCCCAUUAGAGCCUGGCUGACCCUGGGACCGGAGAGCAAGCCACCAGGAUUUGCUCUCAACGGCGAGCAACUUCAGACCACGUCUCUGUGCUUAACUCUUAGAAACAUGAAGCUGAGUUUCUGCAGAGUCCAUCAUCCAUGGGCCCAACACCUUCCUUCUUCCUGAUGUAGCUAGCUCCAUCUUCCCCAUGGCAUCAGUUAUCUCUCUCGUGUAUCAAACCGAAGUUAUUUCUGUGUGCCUCUUGAGAUUGUCUUAAUAAAUGAUUCACGGGUUUGACACACUGGAGAUGAACUUCUCACACACCCUGUUCAUGCAGGAGGAUUAAGACAAAGACCACUGUGUUGCCUACUGCAGGCGGGAGUUUUGUUUUUGUUUUUCUCAGAAAGAGGCCUCCCAAUGUCUUGUACAUACACAGAAAUGACUGGGAUGUCCCUAGCAGAUCAGAAGUGCGGUCAUGACAGAUUUAAAGGCACCUACAAAGUAUAAUUCACUACCUCACCACCAUGAACAUGAAUUCUCACAGCACGUUACAGUUCUAACGUGUUCAUGGUCAUGAGGCCACCACAGACAGAGCAGCAAGUGUGGUAGGUAAUGACUCCCUUAUCCACAAGGCGCCCAAGACAGCAGAG